ensembl:lncRNA
CUGUGCUACUAGAGGACACCCUGCUGCCAGGGAUUGUCAUUCAAUUAGUUUCUUAUCCAUAGUUCAGUCUAAAUCUAAUACAAAUGAAUUAUUCAACCAUGUUAAAGAGAGAUACAUUAUGCUUCAUUAUGCUUAUGGGAAUUUUCCCUGACCCAUAAUCAUUUAAAAAGGCUUGUUUCAAAUUCUGCAUGACAAUGUCCCCAUAUUAGUAAAUAAAAAGGUCCAGACUAUUGCCCUGGCAAUACAGUGAAAUAUUGAACAAUUUAAGCUUUUUUUGCAUGUUGUCAUAUCCUGUCAUAUCCAUGUCAUAUCCUGUUUCCCCCCAGGUUUGAGAAGUUGACCAGCGGUAUGUACUUCAGGGAGAUAGUGAGACAGAUUCUCAUCGACCAACCAGGAGAGGUCUUCUAUUCCGAGGCCACAUCACAGAGCUUCUGAAGAGAGACCAAGUAGUACAGCUACUAAGUGACCGCUUGGCGCUACUGCAGGUGCGGUCCAUUCUGCUGCAGCUGCGUCUGGGCAGCAUACGUGAUGACAGCGUCAUCGUCAAGGUGGUGUGGUCCAUUUUUUUAUAUAUUUAAAAAAAAAAUAACAACAAAUCAAUACAGGAAGAACAUGUGGGAACGCAAGUAUAAAUAAAUAAUAUACAAAGGACAAUUGGGCUAGGGGGUAUAGGGUGCGGGGCUGGAGGCGGGGCUAGGGUGUACAAUAUCACAUUAAACAAGGACCUAACACUUAUAAUUCUAACAGCUUUUUUUGUUAGUAGAGUAUUUAAUUGUCUUAAAAUAUAGUUCCAUUUAUUUUUGUAAGGUAAAAAAAAUGUGGUGUUUUGUUUGUAAAAUUUACAUUCAUGAAUAUGACAUUUGGUCAAAAGAAUUACAUAAAAUUGUUUCAUCUUAUUUCUAUUGUAGGUAAAUAAUCCAAGCAGUACAUCUCUCCACAAUAGUGUAAAAUCUUCAUAAAUAUGUUCAAUUAUAAAUCUACUGAUGUCUUGCCACAGUUUCCUUACAUGAAUACAACGCCAAAAAAGAUGCAACACUGUUUCUGGGUGGUCAUUACAAAAGGUACAAUUUGAGUUGAUGUUUUCCUUAAACUUCUUCAUAUAGUGGUUGGCAGGAUAAUAUUUAUGAACCAUUUUAAAGGAAACUUCCUUAAUUUUGUUAACAAGUAGGCAUGUGUGCAGCAACAUCCAAACUUUUUUUCCAAAAGAUAUUAUCAAUAGAUCUGUUCCAAUAAGGCAUGACAUAAGGUAUAGAUACAACAUCUUGCUGAAACAAGAUUCAUAUUGCUCUUGUUGAAUGGACCAAAAGAGAAACAAAUCUUUCCUACUGAUGAGUCAACAGAGUCAAUAGAAGGUAGGCUCUGAGGGUCUUGACACAUUCCUGAAUAAUAAAGCAACACCUGAGGGAAUGGCAUCUAAAACAAUUGCAAAAUCUUUAGGUGUUACGGGGACCUUGUAAAGUGAUAAGAAUUCCUUAUAACUAAGUAAAAGACCCUCUGCAUUUACAAGUUGGCUCACCAAUAGGAUAUUAUUUCAGAACCAAUAUUCUAAAAACAAAUAAGUAUUUUUAUACAAUAUAUCACGAUUAUUCCAUAUAUAAUACCUGUGUUGAGAAACAUU